UACAGAGGUCUCAAGCGUUGUUCGGAUUCAUUGGGCGUAAAGGGUGCGUAGGCGGCGCGGUAAGUCGGGGUGUGAAAUCUCGGAGCUUAACUCCGAAACUGCAUUCGAUACUGCCGUGCUUGAGGACUGGAGAGGAGACUGGAAUUUACGGUGUAGCGGUGAAAUGCGUAGAUAUCGUAAGGAAGACCAGUGGCGAAGGCGGGUCUCUGGACAGUUCCUGACGCUGAGGCACGAAGGCCCAGGGGGAGCAAACGGGG
rnacentral:rRNA from 1 species